UACAUCUCUGACAGACCUGGAGAAGUUAAUGUCUGCUGCUAAUGUUUUCCAUUAGAGAUGCAAGAAAAAGAAGGUCCUCACACUUUCUGUCUGUCUGGUUGUGACAGCCAAAAUUGAAUAGGAGAAUACAGGA
rnacentral:snoRNA from 1 species